AACUGGCAAGCAUGGCAGCAAGGACAGGUCACUCUUCCAAUGCGAACUAAGCACUGGACCUCAUACACGUUCUAAACGCAACCAUCAGUAAGAUCUACUAUGUAGCAGACAGGAAGGAAUACAUAGGAUAGUGAAAUACAGGAACUGUGAACAGCAAAGGUACACUUUUGUUUCGCCAAGGAAAUACUGUCCUACUCCCUUGAAAAUCCACACAGAUCUUUCUGCUGUACUACUACGAAGACGUAUCUUGGAAAACAGCUGUGAGAAGAACCCAUAUCAGCAUUCUCCAGUGAAGUUUCAUAACUAGGUCUUCAUGCCACUUCUCUUCCUGACAUGGAUAGAGUGCUCCAUAGAAUAGAUGCCCGCCAGAACAGUCCAGAAACUUUCACCCAGUUUGUUAAAUUUAUCAAUGCCACUCUGUGACCACCUCAACAUUAAAUCUGGUCCCGGAACUCCCCAGUGCCUUUUGUCUCCUGGAACUAGAGGCAACAGGCAGAAACUGAUGCACAGAAAGUUCCAC